rnacentral:lncRNA from 1 species
CCUCUAGUUGAAUUGAUCCCUUUAUUAUUAUAUAAUAAACAUCUUUGUCUCUUUUUACAGAUUUUAACUUAAAGUCUAUUUUACCUGAUAUAAAUAUAGCUACUCCUGUUUGCUUUUGGUUCUCAAAAAACGUAAAUCAAAACCACAGUGAGAUAACACCUCACCCCCAUUGAAAAGGGGAUUACAGAAAAGACAGUUUAUUAAUUUUUUUCCUGAGAUGGUGGAUUGGUGGCAUUGUUAGUAUGCUUCUUCCACUUGGAAGACAAAAUAGUGUGUAAAGGUUCACACUGUGAAGUUUUUUCCAGUUUCUGCCAGAUAAUUUUAUACUUUUGUAUGUUGUCAUGAUGGUAGUUAUCCUAUUUUCACUUCCAGAUGCAGGACUUCCUUGAGCAUUUCUUAUAAGGCAGAAAAUAUUCUCAGGAUGUCAGUUCUUCCCAAGUAAUUUCAAGUCACACAGCAAAGAUGAGACUUCAGCCCAACAGUCUGGCUCCAGAUCCCAUACCUUUGGGAUGGUGUUCUGUUUCCAGUCAUCUGUCUUUGAAUCUCAAGGGUCAAACAGGAUGUUCCUGACUGCACCCCACCCCAAGAUGGGUCAGUGAUGGGAAUGAAGGAGGAAUCUAGAGGUGAAAGGGUGAAGACGUGCCCAACCCCUGACACUUGUGAGAGUGCCUGGCACAUAGCAGAAGAGAGUAGGGGGAGGAUUCAGAUAGCAGCUGAUGGACAAGCAGCCUGGGCAGAGUCAGAGGGCUCAAAAGAGGAAAAAUAGGAGCUGCCUGAAGUUAGGGAAAGGGGUCACAAAAGCGAUCAACUGGAAGGGGGAGACAUAGGGUGGGACAUUAGCAAGAAAGGAAACAGAACUCCUGAGAGCCUGCCAGGGUAUAAGCUGCACCCUUCUAUCCUUGUGUUCUGAACUGGCCAGGGACCUCGGUCUUGGGACACUCCCAGACCAAAAGAAAGGAUCUGCCCCUAUGGUUGCUUCUCACUUAGCCUCAGUCGUACCUCUUAAAUCCGUUCUUAAUCCUGGUCCCUCUCCUGCUCAAAAACCUCCCAUGGCUCCACAUUGUCCACAGGAUAAAGUCCAUACUUGGGCUCUGAGAGACCCUGCUAUAAGCAUGGAGGCCCUAUGCUCAGCCAAAGAGGCAGUCAGGUUCUUGGUUUCAGGGAAAACAUCCCGCCUAACCCACCCAGGUUAGGCCCCUUCCCUGAAGCCUCCCAGUCCCCAAGAGCCCCCUGCAGGCUGUCAGUGAGGCCCAGGCAGAGGUGACA